UGCUUAAUACAUGCAAGUCGUGCGAGAACGCACCUUUCGGGGUGUUAUUAGAGCGGCGAACGGGUGAGUAACACGUAAGCAACCUGCCCUUAAAUCUGGAAUAACCUUGCUAACGCGGGGCUAAUGCCGGAUGUGAUCAUUUUGCCUCAUGGUGAUUUGAUUAAAGGUGACCUCUAUUUAUAAGUUACUGUUUAGGGAUGGGCUUGCGUACCAUUAGUUUGUUGGUAGGGUAACGGCCUACCAAGACUACGAUGGUUAGCCGACCUGAGAGGGUGAUCGGCCACAUUGGGACUGAGAUACGGCCCAGACUCCUACGGGAGGCAGCAGUAGGGAAUUUUGCGCAAUGGACGAAAGUCUGACGCAGCAACUCCGCGUGAGGGAUGAAUGUCUUCGGAUUGUAAACCUCUGUUGACAGGGAAGAAAAAGCCUUGUGCUAAUAUCACAAGGCCCUGACGGUACCUGUCAAGAAAGCUCCGGCUAACUACGUGCCAGCAGCCGCGGUAAUACGUAGGGAGCAAGCGUUGUUCGGAAUCACUGGGCGUAAAGAGAGCGUAGGCGGGAAAAUAAGUUAGAAGUGAAAUGUACCGGCUCAACCGGUAACGUGCUUUUAAUACUGUUUUUCUUGAGUAUCGGAGAGGUAGAUGGAAUUCCAGGUGUAGCGGUGGAAUGCGUAGAUAUCUGGAAGAACACCAGUUGCGAAGGCGAUCUACUGGCCGAAUACUGACGCUGAGGCUCGAAAGCUAGGGGAGCGAACAGGAUUAGAUACCCUGGUAGUCCUAGCCGUAAACGAUGGAUACUAGAUGUUGGGGGCGUUGUUAUGACUUCAGUGACGAAGCUAACGCGUUAAGUAUCCCGCCUGGGGAGUACGCUCGCAAGAGUGAAACUCAAAGGAAUUGACGGGGGCCCGCACAAGCGGUGGAGCAUGUGCUUUAAUUCGAUGCAACGCGAAGAACCUUACCUGGUCUUGACAUGUGAAUGAUAGACUUUAGAGAUAGAGUAACUUCCUUCGGGAACAUUCAACACAGGUGCUGCAUGGUUGUCGUCAGCUCGUGUCGUGAGAUGUUGGGUUAAGUCCCGCAACGAGCGCAACCCCUGUCCUUAGUUGCCAUCAGGUAAUGCUGGGAACUCUAAGGAGACUGCCUGGAUUAACCAGGAGGAAGGUGGGGAUGACGUCAAAUCCUCAUGGCCCUUACGACCAGGGCUA
rnacentral:rRNA from 1 species